UACGUGGGGUGCAAGCGUUGUCCGGAAUUAUUGGGCGUAAAGAGCGUGUAGGCGGUUCGGUAAGUCUGUCGUGAAAUCCUGAGGCUCAACCUCGGACGUGCGAUGGAUACUGCCGGGCUAGAGGAUGGUAGAGGCGAGUGGAAUUCCCGGUGUAGCGGUGAAAUGCGCAGAUAUCAGGAGGAACACCAACAGCGAAGGCAGAUCUCUGGGACAUGACUGACGCUGAGACGCGAAAGCGUGGGGAGCAAACAGG
rnacentral:rRNA from 1 species